rnacentral:rRNA from 1 species
GACGAACGCUGGCGGCGUGCUUAACACAUGCAAGUCGAACGGAAAGGCCCUGCUUUUGUGGGGUGCUCGAGUGGCGAACGGGUGAGUAACACGUGAGUAACCUGCCCUUGACUUUGGGAUAACUUCAGGAAACUGGGGCUAAUACCGGAUAGGAGCUCCUGCUGCAUGGUGGGGGUUGGAAAGUUUCGGCGGUUGGGGAUGGACUCGCGGCUUAUCAGCUUGUUGGUGGGGUAGUGGCUUACCAAGGCUUUGACGGGUAGCCGGCCUGAGAGGGUGACCGGCGACAUUGGGACUGAGAUACGGCCCAGACUCCUACGGGAGGCAGCAGUGGGGAAUAUUGCACAAUGGGCGGAAGCCUGAUGCAGCAACGCCGCGUGCGGGAUGACGGCCUUCGGGUUGUAAACCGCUUUAGCCUGUGACGAAGCGUGAGUGACGGUAAUGGGUAAAGAAGCACCGGCUAACUACGUG